AUUGAACGCUGGCGGCAUGCCUUACACAUGCAAGUCGAACGGCAGCACGGGUGCUUGCACCUGGUGGCGAGUGGCGAACGGGUGAGUAAUACAUCGGAACGUACCUUAUCGUGGGGGAUAACGCAGCGAAAGCUGUGCUAAUACCGCAUACGCCCUGAGGGGGAAAGCGGGGGAUCGAAAGACCUCGCGCGAUUAGAGCGGCCGAUGCCUGAUUAGCUUGUUGGUGGGGUAAAAGCACAGCAAGGCGACGAUCAGUAGCUGGUCUGAGAGGACGAUCAGCCCCACUGGGACUGAGACACGGCCCAGACUCCUACGGGAGGGAGCAUUGGGGAAUUAUGGACAAUGGGGGCAACCCUGAUCCAGCAAUGCCGCGUGAGUGAAGAAGGCCUUCGGGUUGUAAAGCUCUUUUGUCAGGGAAGAAACACCGGCUCUAACACAGUCCGGGAAUGACGGUACCUGAAGAAUAAGCACCGGCUAACUACGUGCCAGCCGCCGCCGUAA
rnacentral:rRNA from 1 species